CAAGUAGACUUAUUCAUGACCGGCAAUGACAAAAUUGCGUGACGACAGUAACGAUGGCAAAAAGGCAGUCCCAAAAAGAUAACUCCAGAUGUGCGAUAUUGAAAGCCCGAGUUCACACAGCUAUGCGUCUAGUUCUAUAAAUAAAUGUUUCAUCAAAACGGUGAUAAAUCUAUCAUUCGUUUACGUUUACGUUGAUUAAUCCUUUUUCCUCGUUCAAAAGAAUUUUUAGCUUAAAAAGAGGCGUUGAAGAAAAAACCGGUAUAGCGGUAUCAUGUUCGCCGCUUUGGAGUGAUCUGUACGGACAAAUAGAGAUACACCUUUAAUGAUGUCACAGGCCACAUGAGUAGCCUCGCGUACGUAAACACUGUACAAUUUACCAUUUCGGGUCACCAAAAUAUUUUGAUAUGUAACCUUGACUUCGAUACUAAAAUCCCGCACUAUCAGCACAGUUGUUUUGAAAUCCAGUGUUUAUAUCACGGUUUUCCUAUGGUUUGUCUCUGUGAUUGUUUCAGAAUAUGAUAUCGGAUGCUUGAACUCGAAAAUAGUGCGGGAGUUAUACUUAGAGAUCACGUGAAAUUUUGAAUUAUUGUAAUCGGUAGUUUUGUCGGAUUACAAGUUUAACUUCAAUGGGGGAAAAUAAAAAACGCUUUGAAAAACAGUUGGAAAACUCGCAGAUUUCAGGGAUCGUUAAUUUGGAGGACCACCGUCUUUCUAUAACGAAAAAACUUCAUGGUCUACCUUAGCUUAUCGGUAGCCAACCUCAGACAGGAAGAAAAUAAAUGUCUGGUAAAUGUGUAUUAGUCUUGCGGGAAAAAUAUCUAAAUUUGACUGGGAAAUUAGGUUAAAAACGUGCUUUUUCUACGACGGGGCUCCCUUUCUAUUUCACUCAAUAUUCUCUUUAAAAACGUCGCUAUAUAUAUAUAUAUAUUGUCUUUCAACACCGUUGUAGUAUACAGGUAAACAAUACGUAAACCACUGGCCAAGGAAAACGGAUAUAAAGAACAUUUCUUCUUGAUGAGCUAAUAUAGAAAACGCCAUAUACUUAUGGAUGUUUGUAAUGCUGUGUUCAUGAUCAGUGCCACCGAGACUUACGGAAGUACAGGUAGAAAAGACAAAACCUCCUAAUGAAAUUUCCGCUCCUUGUUACGAUCGUCCUCCUUGGAAUGUUCCAGUCUCAAGAAGUUUUUGGCUGUGGCGGCGGAGGCAAGCCAAGGCGAACGCCACCGAGGCGAACGCCACCAACACCAGGUGGCAGCGAUUGUUUUGCGCAGAUUUGUUCCAGUAAUCCUUCCAACCAAAUAAGAGGAACAGAUCGGUGGGGCAGUGGUGCGUAUGGAGCAGGAAGA